rnacentral:miRNA from 1 species
CAAAACAUGCAAACCAAUAUGUCUCCCUGUGUAUAUGGAUUUUUGUUUACUGACAUCAAGUCAAUUCCAACUCAUACUAACCCCAUGUGACAAAGUAGAGUUGCCCUGCAGCAUUUCCUAGGCUCUAAUCUUUAUGAGAAUAGACUGCCAGGUGACACACGCUCUUUCAUUCUGUCUCCAUAAAAGC